CUACCAUGCAGUCGAGCGGUUGAAGGGAGCUUGCUCCCUGAUUCAGCGGCGGACGGGUGAGUAAUGCCUAGGAAUCUGCCUAUUAGUGGGGGACAACGUUUCGAAAGGAACGCUAAUACCGCAUACGUCCUACGGGAGAAAGCAGGGGACCUUCGGGCCUUGCGCUAAUAGAUGAGCCUAGGUCGGAUUAGCUAGUUGGUGAGGUAAUGGCUCACCAAGGCGACGAUCCGUAACUGGUCUGAGAGGAUGAUCAGUCACACUGGAACUGAGACACGGUCCAGACUCCUACGGGAGGCAGCAGUGGGGAAUAUUGGACAAUGGGCGAAAGCCUGAUCCAGCCAUGCCGCGUGUGUGAAGAAGGUCUUCGGAUUGUAAAGCACUUUAAGUUGGGAGGAAGGGUUGUAGAUUAAUACUCUGCAAUUUUGACGUU
rnacentral:rRNA from 1 species